rnacentral:rRNA from 1 species
UAACACGUGGGGAACCUGCCCCAUAGUCUGGGAUACCACUUGGAAACAGGUGCUAAUACCGGAUAAGGAAGCGGAUCGCAUGAUCAGCUUUUAAAAGGCGGCGUAAGCUGUCGCUAUGGGAUGGCCCCGCGGUGCAUUAGCUAGUUGGUAAGGUAAAGGCUUACCAAGGCGAUGAUGCAUAGCCGAGUUGAGAGACUGAUCGGCCACAUUGGGACUGAGACACGGCCCAAACUCCUACGGGAGGCAGCAGGU